rnacentral:lncRNA from 1 species
ACGAGUUUUUGGGUUGAGGAAAUUGAUACCCUCCUCUCUAAUUUCAUUGGAAUUUAAACAGAAUUGAAUUACAUGAUUCUAAGUAAAGCGAUGCAGUUCCACUGACUAUAACUAACUACCACAGUCCACGGCACUCGUAAAGGAAGUCGUCUUUACGAGUGGAUUUCCGACUCCGUGCUAGGUUCCGUGCACUUGCUCUCUGCCACCGUCGCGUCUAGCUGUAGAUUGAGCUCUAAGCCCAGGAGCUGUUCCGCUAUUGCUUGAUCGAUGAUAAUUGUAACAGUCAUCCUUAAGGAAAUUGUUGGACCUGAACUGAUCUAACCCUAUAUUUAAGGUAAAUUCAAAUGGAAAUUUAAUGUAAAUACAAAUAUAUAUAUAUAAGGUAUCUUCAAACUUAAAGAUUAAAAAUUGAAGAUUUGCCUGCUAGGUACAAGAACAUCCCCAAGUUCGUCGACCCAAUACCGACACGGCGAGCGAUUCAGAAACAUUAGAAUUAGGCUCGGUUUUGAAAAUAACAAAAGGUCUAUUAAUACUGGCCUCUUGAAAAGAGAAAAGACAUGUUACAAUGAAUACUUAUACUGCAUUAGAGAAAGUGAGAGAUUUUGUAAGUCCAUCUCCAAAGAACGACCGACCAUACAUCAUAAAUAUCUUAAAAUUCAAAUAAUUUUAUAUAAUAGCCUACUAAGAGUCGAGGUCGACUCUUAUCUAACUGUAAAUUUAAGGUGAUAGAAAUUUAAUGAAAAUACGUAUAUAAUGACUUAAAAUCCUGUAUAUAACGAGAACAGUUGAUCGAGAUUGAAAAUUAAAGAAUUGACAUGAUGCAAAUAAAGAUUCUACA